UGCUCUGUGUUGAAUUUGGGUAUC
rnacentral:miRNA from 1 species